UACGUAGGGUGCGAGCGUUGUCCGGAAUUACUGGGCGUAAAGAGCUCGUAGGUGAUUUGUCGCGUUGUCCGUGAAAACUCACAACUCAAUUGUGGGCGUGCGGGCGAUACGGGCAGACUGGAGUACUGCAGGGGAGACUGGAAUUCCUGGUGUAGCGGUGAAAUGCGCAGAUAUCAGGAGGAACACCGGUGGCGAAGGCGGGUCUCUGGGCCGAUAUUGACGCUGAGGAGCGAAAGCGUGGGGAGCGAACAGG
rnacentral:rRNA from 1 species